CGGUAAUACGUAGGGUGCGAGCGUUAAUCGGAAUUACUGGGCGUAAAGCGUGCGCAGGCGGAUUGUUAAGCAAGACGUGAAAUCCUCGAACUUAACUCGGAGAUGGCGUUUUGAACUGGCAGUCUAGAGUGUGUCAGAGGGGGGUGGAAUUCCACGUGUAGCAGUGAAAUGCGUAGAGAUGUGGAGGAACACCGAUGGCGAAGGCAGCCCCCUGGGAUAACACUGACGCUCAUGUACGAAAGCGUGGGUAGCAAGUAGGAUUAGAUACCUCGGUAGUCCACGCCCUAAACGAUGUCAACUGGUUGUUGGGGGAGUGAAAUCCCUUAGUAACGAAGCUAACGCGUGAAGUUGACCGCCUGGGGAGUACGGUCGCAAGAUUAAA
rnacentral:rRNA from 1 species